rnacentral:rRNA from 1 species
CACUAUGCCUAGCCGUAAACAUAGACAGUUCACAUACCUUACUGUCCGCCCGGGAACUACGAGCAUUAGCUUAAAACCCAAAGGACUUGGCGGUGCUUCAUACCCACCUAGAGGAGCCUGUUCUAGAACCGAUAAUCCCCGUUCAACCUCACCCUUCCUUGUUCUUCCCGCCUAUAUACCGCCGUCGUCAGUUUACCCUGUGAAGGCCUAAUAGUAAGCAAAAUCGGCACAGCCUAAAACGUCAGGUCGAGGUGUAGCGUAUGGAAGGGGAAGAAAUGGGCUACAUUCCCUAAUUAUAGGGUAUACGGAUGAUUGUGCUGAAACGCAUGUCUGAAGGAGGAUUUAGCAGUAAGCAGGAAAUAGAGUGUCCUACUGAAGCCGGCUCUGAAGCGCGUACACACCGCCCGUCACUCUCCCCGAGCUAACAUAUUUAAACUAAUUAAAACACCACAACUGCAAAGGGGAGGCAAGUCGUAA